UGGGGUGUAGCCAAGCGGUAAGGCAACGGACUUUGACUCCGUCACUGCGCUGGUUCGAAUCCAGCCAUCCCAGCCA
rnacentral:tRNA from 1 species